AGGACAUGAAACCUGAGGGAGGGAGAGAGCACAAAGACAGCAAGAGAGAGGGGGGGGAUUAACUAUCACUCCACACGAGCAUGAAGCCACUACACGGACACGGACUCACGCCGUGAGAAGAGAGAAACCGUCAACGGGUCUCGGUCUCCACGACCAGUUCAGAUCGUCCCAGAGAGGCAGCGAAAGCAAAGGGCCAGGCCAGCAACAUGAGGAACACUGCAGAGAACAACCGUACUGGUACCACCGUCACAGUCAUCACACCGAUCUGAGAAGGGGGGGGGGGGCAAGAGCGGAGAGAGAGACAAAAUCAAAUGGUGAUGCAUUCAUUCAUUCAUAAAAACACAGAGGGAGAGGGUGACAGAGGUACAAAUGAUCACAAUUCAUCAGGGAAAGCAUCUCUUUCUGUGAAGUUAGAAUGACCCAUCAAGAACUGCUCUGUUGAAGAAGACUCAGGCGUGCCUCUAACCAUCCAGCAAUGACAGACUUACAGCUAGUCAUCCCUCCUAGCUUUCUCCGUGUUAACUCUAUGCUCCUUAUGUAAGCAUGAUCACAACAGCUCAAAGAAAUACUAUAAAAAAAAUAAAAAAUUAAACUAUCCAAUGUGAUUUCAGAUUUAAAUAAAAAUAACAGUUAGUUUAGUACCAAAUUAUUUUAUGCUUACAUCAUUAAGGUCAAAGGAUAAUCUGAGGUCAAAGCUGAUAACUAUUGACCUGUCAAGCCCUUAGAAGGAAUAUGGUUGUAUGUCAUGCCAUCACUCCAAAUAACAGGGUCACAAUGUCAAGGCCCACACUGUCAUUUCAGAUCCCCCCUCCUCUAUGCCUCUACCCAUCAUCUGGGGACCUCUUAUCCAUCUUCUGUCUGUUACAGUAGGGUGUUGUUGUUCUCAAUACUGCACAUGUUUCUUUCUCUAUUGCUUUCUCUAUAAAUAUAUCUUUCCCCCUCUCCCUCCACCCCCCUCUCUCUGCCUGCCUACAUUACAAUGUGGUCUUCUUUCCUUUCCCAGGGGACUCGUAUUCCUUCUCUUCUCUUCUCUCUCCAUCAGUCUGUGUGAGCCCCAGGUGCAGACAGCAUGGCCAGAUAAAUAAACACUAAUAGCUGGUUUAUGACCCCCCCCCCCCCCUCCCCCAAAACACCUAACGACCCAUCCUAACCACCACCACCACCCCCCCCUUCUGUAAAUGGACUCAUCCAAACAGCACACUAACAAACAUUAGCAGCCAUUCUACUGAGGUUAUAACUCCAUUACCAGAAUUAUGACUAUCUGUCCCUCCUGUAGAAUCAGUGUUUCCCUUAUAUUCAUUUGGCAGCUGAGUAUGGUUCCCUCUACACAUUUUUUUUUUUUUACAUUGUAACACUCGUCUUAAAAAGUGUGUUACAAGUUGCAUAUCUACCUCAGAUUCUCAUCAGAUCGUCCGAGAAACCUCCAAAGCCACUAGCUAGCCAUCUUGUGAUCCUCGAAGUAUAGCAAGCCCUAUAGAUGUAGAUGCAAUAACUGUUAGCUAAGAUACACUAGCAAAAUCAUUUUGGGGGUUAAUAUAGAAUUGGCUGGUGAAGAUCAGGAGAAAAUUCAAAACUGUCCUCGAUUUUCUGAUGAGUUUCAAAAUAAAGAUCAUUUCAACCUC